rnacentral:rRNA from 1 species
UACAGAGGGUGCAAGCGUUAAUCGGAAUUACUGGGCGUAAAGCGUGCGUAGACGGUAGCGUAAGUCGGGUGUGAAAGCCCCGGCUCAACCUGGGAAUUGCAUUCGAGACUGCUCUGCUAGGGUGCGGAAGAGGGGAGCGGAAUUUCCGGUGUAGCGGUGAAAUGCGUAGAUAUCGGAAGGAACACCAGUGGCGAAAGCGGCUCCCUGGUCCAGCACCGACGUUCAGGCACGAAAGCGUGGGGAGCAAACAGG